CAACUCUACUGAUUUAUAGAAGUAGUCAUCACCUCUGUUCUCAGGCUACAAAUUCUACAAUAAGGAACGACCCAAAGGAGCUAUAUUCUAAAUACCAAAGAAAAGAAAACAACUGAAAAUGAAUUUUCAAAAGAGAAAGACUUCUAAGAGGAACAAUGAAAAUAUAAACCACGCAAUAGAUUAAUUUGUGAAUGAGGAAAGUUUGGAAAGUAAAAUGAACUCUAUAGAUAAACCCAUUUUAAUAAAUGGGUGAUACAAAAUUACUUUAGACUUUAGACUUUUCAAAAUUACUAAUUUAAAUUUAGUUGGUAAUAUUAUUAGAUUUCGCAAUAAAUUGAGAAGUUUGUUAAGCAUAAUUAAAUAUUCUAUGAAAAUAGAAGAUUUUGUGGUUGUCAAUUGUUAGUUUCAAACUUUAAAGCAGCUACCUUUUUAUUUCUACAUAGUUUAAAGGGGACUAAUUUAACUUUAAUACCAGUACCACAUUAGUCAAGGUAAAGUAAAAAUCUUCCCUUGUUCAUAAGCACUUCCACAGUGUUUAGUAUGUUCGCUUGAGGAGCCCUAUAAACAUGCCCAUUACGGCCCAGUAUCAGUUUUAAUUAGGGUUAUCCCCCUUUGCCCUAAUUGCAGCCCUAAAUAGCCCAAAUCGCGCCCUAAUGGGCGCGCAUACCGUUUGCACAUUGGCGUCAUUAGGUUCCCAUAAGGGACCAAUAUGGGCUACCCUAAUCGUGCCAAUAUCGGCCCAGAAUGGGUAAACCCACUUCCGGAUUCAUUGGGGAUUUCCAGAAUCACGCCCUAAUCAAGCCCAUACUAGCCCCAAUGGUUUAGUAACUGAGAUUUUCAUUGGGGUUUAAUUAGGGAUAACCCUUAUUGUGCCAAUAUCGGUCCGAUGCUGGCCUGAAUGGUUUAGUAACUGAAAUAUUUAUUAGGGUUCAAUUAGGGAUAACCCUUAUUGUGCCAUUAUCGGUCCAAUGCUGGCCCUAAUGGUUUAGUAAUUGAAAUAUUAAUUAGGGUUCAAUUAGGGAUAACCCUUAUUGUGCCAAUAUCGGACCGAUGCUGGCCCUAAUGGUUUAGUAAUUGAAAUAUUAAUUAGGGUUCAAUUAGGGAUAACCCUUAUUGUGCCAUUAUCGGUCCAAUGCUGGCCCUAAUGGUUUAGUAACUGAAAUAUUUAUUAGGGCUCAAUUAGGUAUUAUGCAAAUACUGUCUCCGAUGGUUUAGUCAUUAAAUUUUAUUAUGGCUUAAUUAGGAAUAAUCUUUAAUGUUUUUCAAUACUGUAGUUUAAAACAAAUUCAUUAGUGAUUUUUUGUUUAUAAUGCCCUUUUUGUUCAAAUGCAGCUCAAUGGUUUAGUAUGAGAUUUUUAACCUUUUACAUAGGUCUACUUUCACACUGAUGAUUUAGAUCUAGCAAUAGAAUUAUUUGACAUAAUUGUUUGGAAAUUAUAAUAAUUGAAUCAGUGCAUGAUUUCUAUAUACAUCUAGCUAUAAUGUCAACAUAUUUAUAAAGUAAUGGACAAGUUAAAUUACAUUUUUGGGUUUGAACACUAUCAAACAAUACAAUUUUUGGUAACGUACUAUAUAAGACUUGCAUGCUCUGAUCAUUUAUUCUUAAAUCAAACUUACACAAUUAACUUUUUUUUAUUUUUUAUUCAUGGAAUAAUUAACCAACACAAAAGACAAAUAUAACAGCACAAACAAGAUAUCAAGACAGCAUUUUCAUUCAAUUCUUAGCAUUCUUUACAAGCUGACUUCAAGACUGGUGGCAAUAAUUCAUAUUUUGACUUCCAUGCAGCAGCUGGAACAAACAAACAAACAAAUAAAUAUUAUAGUCAUGUAAUAAAACUACCUUCAAGCUGUAUUAAUAAUAAAAAGAAUCUAACAAUUAAACAUCAGAAGACCUUACAUUUAUCUAUUACAUUUAUCUAUGUGGACAUACUAUUUAACGGUUAUAUUUCCAGCCCUUGAUGAUAAAGGGUGCUCAAAAAUUAGGUUGCUUCUAAAGCCUAUUAAGCAACACAAAAAUUAAUGGUAUUUCAAAAUUUGGAGUUCAAUCUUCUCCUUAAAUUAAAUGUUAUGAAUUGGUGUCAGCAAAUGUGGCACUGGUAUUUGACUAUGCUAAAAGUGCAAUGGCAGACUAGAUCGAGCUAGGCUUCAAUUCAUUCAAUAUUAUAUUUUGUCCAAUUUAUUUAUAUUAACUUUAUCACAGGCUCUUACUAAUACAACUAUAUUCUGUUGUAAUUAGAGUUCUAUGGUAAUUUUAAAAAUAAGUUGGCUGAAAAGUUAUUCUAGAAUUAAAAUAAACAAUUAUCACAGUGAAACUUAAAAAAAACAUUAAAAAAAAAAAACCACAAC